UACAGAGGUCUCAAGCGUUGUUCGGAUUCAUUGGGCGUAAAGGGUGCGUAGGCGGCGCGGUAAGUCGGGUGUGAAAUCUCGGAGCUUAACUCCGAAACUGCAUUCGAUACUGCCGUGCUUGAGGACUGGAGAGGAGACUGGAAUUUACGGUGUAGCGGUGAAAUGCGUAGAUAUUGGGAGGAACACCGGUGGCGAAGGCGGCCCCCUGGACCGGUACUGACGCUGAGGAGCGAAAGCGUGGGGAGCGAACAGG
rnacentral:rRNA from 1 species